UACGGGGGGGGCAAGCGUUGUUCGGAAUUACUGGGCGUAAAGGGCUCGUAGGCGGCCAACUAAGUCAGACGUGAAAUCCCUCGGCUUAACCGGGGAACUGCAUCUGAUACUGGAUGGCUUGAGUUCGGGAGAGGGAUGCGGAAUUCCAGGUGUAGCGGUGAAAUGCGUAGAUAUCUGGAGGAACACCGGUGGCGAAGGCGGCAUCCUGGACCGACACUGACGCUGAGGCACGAAAGCUAGGGGAGCAAACAGG
rnacentral:rRNA from 1 species